UGGACAGAAGACAAAGGAUGGUCACUGGAAGCAGUUUCAUGGUGCCCAUGGAUUGUCUCAGUGGCUCCUCUCUCCAGAGUCGGCCAGGGGCACCUCCCUCUCAGCCCGGCAGGGCCUUUCGAGCAAAUGCAAGAGUUGGAAUGGCGCUGGAGGGGAACGCUCUCGCAGCAAAUCAGGGAUGGUGGGAGAGAUGGAUUCUUUGGCCAAGAAUACCAACCGGGCAAGAAACUCUGUCUAUCAGGAGUCUGAUGUUAGUAGCAGUUGAUUAAAAACAUCGUGACAACACAGCCACUGCCCUGACUACACUCCCUUGUGUGCCAAGUAACUCUAGACUUUUCUUCACCCAUAGGCUGCACAUCGAGUCUCAGCCAAUCGUCUUUUUAUCUACCUUUAGGGAUUGUCGGAGUCCAGCUCCAGCCGGUAGGGUUUCCUGAGGGAUGAACGGCGUCGGCGAAAAAAGAAGUUACGGAGGAGCUCAUUCUUCUGGACCUGGCUUCACUGCAACGGGCAGUAUGAGAAGGUGCUAUCCCAGGAGUAUUGCACCAUUUGCCUCACAUGUAUUCUCUCUUCUGACUAUCAAACAAUUCAUGAUAGAGAUCACUGUUAAAUUUCACU